UACGGGGGGGGCAAGCGUUGUUCGGAAUUACUGGGCGUAAAGGGCUCGUAGGCGGCCAACUAAGUCAGACGUGAAAUCCCCAGGCUUAACCUGGGAACUGCGUCUGAUACUGGAUGGCUUGAAUCCGGGAGAGGGAUGCAGAAUUCCAGGUGUAGCGGUGAAAUGCGUAGAUAUCUGGAGGAAUACCGAUGGCGAAGGCGGCAUCCUGGACCGGCAUUGACGCUGAGGAGCGAAAGCUAGGGGAGCAAACGGG
rnacentral:rRNA from 1 species